rnacentral:rRNA from 1 species
AUUGAACGCUGGCGGCAGGCCUAACACAUGCAAGUCGAGCGGAUGACGGGAGCUUGCUCCUUGAUUCAGCGGCGGACGGGUGAGUAAUGCCUAGGAAUCUGCCUGGUAGUGGGGGACAACGUUUCGAAAGGAACGCUAAUACCGCAUACGUCCUACGGGAGAAAGCAGGGGACCUUCGGGCCUUGCGCUAUCAGAUGAGCCUAGGUCGGAUUAGCUAGUAGGUGAGGUAAUGGCUCACCUAGGCGACGAUCCGUAACUGGUCUGAGAGGAUGAUCAGUCACACUGGAACUGAGACACGGUCCAGACUCCGACGGGAGGCAGCAGUGGGGAAUAUUGGACAAUGGGCGAAAGCCUGAUCCAGCCAUGCCGCGUGUGUGAAGAAGGUCUUCGGAUUGUAAAGCACUUUAAGUUGGGAGGAAGGGCAGUAAGUUAAUACCUUGCUGCUUUGACGUUACCGACAGAAUAAGCACUGGCUAACUCUGUGCCAGCCGCCGCGGUAAUAC